GUCGGCGGCAGCAGGGUAGUGCGGCCGGCUCCGAGGGGCCACGUGGGGCCUGGGCCGGGGGGCCGGGCUCCGGCCGCGGGGUGGGUUCCGGGGCGGGCCGGCGGAAGGGGUCCGGGUCCUUCGUCCGGCCCCGCGCCGACCGGGCGGUGAAGCCCCAGCGCCCCUGCCCCCUCCCAGGGAUCCGGGAGGCACCGAGGGCCGCAGAGAGGGAUCGAAAGGGUGCCCGACUCGGGACGGGAAAGUUGAGUUGACGUCUCGGCCUCGGUGCGAAGUUUCCGAGCGUGGGACGUGCGGAACGCCGGCUCGAGCCUUUGGGCUGGAGAAACGGGAGCCGGCGGCUACAUUGUCGGGCGAAGAGUUACGUUGUUGCGCUGGAGCGAUGGGGUAGACUGUAUCUCUCGCCGCGUCCCCACAUUUGGCUCCUUGUUGGACUUGAACAGUGUGUGGUUUGUCGGGGGCGCACGGAAGGUUUUCAUUUACUUGAAAAGGACCAUCACAGCCCCGAGACUGAAGCUCGGUUUAGCCAUUUUCGCUUAGAGUCUCUGAUCCAAGAGGGUAUUAUGGCUGCUGAAUAAGAAGGAGUUCUCUUCUAAACGAGUUUCUAAAUUUACCAGCAGUGUCCCAGAAGAGGCCAACACAUGCAUAUUCAGCACCCAAAAAGACUGGCAUGCAGUUUUUUGACAAACUGGGCCUUGCUCCUUGAAGGGCGAGAAUGUCCUUCUAGUUGUGGCAUGUGGGAUGCCGCCUCAGCAUGGCUUGAUGAGCGGUGCCAUGGCUGCACCCAGGAUCCGAGGUAGAGAAAUCCUGGGCCGCUGCAGCAGAGCACACGAACUUCACCAUUUGGCCAUGGGACCAGCUCCUAAGCUCCUUUUAAAGGGGAGAUGAGCCAAGAUGUGGAAGAAUGGCUAGGAGCGCCAAAGCAGGUGCUGCACAGCUGAGCCCAGACAGGGGCCCUGGCUUUCCUAAGGCCCUGCAUGGAAGGGACAGGGGAGAGUCAAGUCCAUCCUAGCCCUCUUGCAAGUGGAACAAGGCUGCUCCCGCACAGCAUCCUCAGAUGAGAAGGACCGUGAAUGACACCCCUGGCCCUUCUGUAGAGGGGGUGAAGCUGAAACUGUGGUCUUGACCUCAAGCACUAAGAGCAAGUGGGACCUCCAGGCUAGCAUGUAUAGCAGUGGCUCAAACCUUCCAGGUUCAGAGAAAAUGGAGACCCGGUAUAAAUUACAGGCAAAGACGUCCCCAAGAUACACGGGACCAUGAACCCGGAAAUGCCACUCAACUUCAGAUCACAAGGAGGAAAAACUGUGGUUUUGCCGGAAGUAGCCAUCAUUACACAGCUUGGUAAAUUCACAACUGAUGGGGAAAAUCAGGAGGGAGAAAACCAAGGCUUCUGUUUUCAUCCCACGGCUCAGGAGUCCUGGAUUUUUGGGUUCCAUGGACCAGUAAAAUUCCAAAGACACCUCCCUUAGGACAGCGGUUCUCGAACUUUCACAUGUCUAAGAAUCACCUGGAGAGCUUGUUAGAACCGGGUCGGUGCCUGCCCCUGGUCCUGAUUGGGCAGGUCUGGGUGGAGCAUGGGGCUCUUCUUUCUAACCAGCUCCCAGGUGGUCUCAGAGGCCCCCGCUUUGAGCAGCACUGGCUACCAGGUUCCCUGGAUUUCUGCCCUGACUCUUCAAGGUCCAACCCAAAUGCACCUUUCAUGAAGCCUCCUCAGUAGAAAAUAAUUUCUCUUUUAAAAAUUCUCACAUAUUUUUUAUAGCAGAGAUCCUGCCAUUUUUUGGCAGACCACUUGUUAUGCCUCAAUGUCCAUUCUUUCCAAAUUCUAUAAGAGAACCCUAGAUUUGGAGGUGGGC
ensembl:lncRNA